GACAGAGGGUGCAACAGUUGUUCGGAAUUACUGGGCGUAAAGCGCGUGUAGGCGGCCAUCUAAGUCGGGCGUGAAAUCCCACGGCUCAACCGUGGAAGUGCACUCGAAACUGGAUGGCUAGAGUCCUGGAGAGGAAGGUGGAAUGCUUGGUGUAGAGGUGAAAUUCGUAGAUAUCAAGCGGAACACCGGUGGCGAAGGCGGCCUUCUGGACAGUGACUGACGCUGAGACGCGGAAAGCGUGGGGAGCAAACAGGG
rnacentral:rRNA from 1 species